CUGAGCGCCGUUCUUCACCCUCUCCACCUUCUGCGCCCGUUGCUCCGCCCACGGCCCGUCUGGCACCUUCUUGUGCAACCAAAGGGUGGAGAGGUGCCGGACUGAGGCUGCGCAGGGCUGAGGGACUUGCUCAGCACUACACAGCUGGCCACUGCAGACCCCAAAGUCAAAUCCAGUUCUCUGAGCCCAUCGUCUGCUAACGUGCAAUCGAGCAACACCAGCCCAGGAGUCAGCCCAUUUGGAGCAAGUUUCCCUGCCAGUUGGCAAUGUAAAAUAACAAGUCUGUCUGCAGAGAAAUAAUACCCUCAGCAAGCAUGAGAACCAUGGCCCAAGAAACAGACUCCAGCUCUGCUGGGUGACAGGUUCUACCGUGGAAGUGGUUUCUUCAACUGUUACAGACACAGGACAAAAGGAAGUCUCCAUACAUUUAUCCACUAUGCUGGUGGGACCUUCAGGUGCUGGCCCACAACCGCAUCUUGGGUAGCAAGACCUUGGACGCGGAAGUUCUCAAUGCUGCUGCAUAUAAUCACAAGGAAAGCUUUAAAAACCACUGUGCCCCACCUAGCGCCAUUAAACUGGAGUCACUGGGGCGGGGCUCAGUGUCCAGGGCUCUAGAAGCUCAUCAACGGGUGCCAAGGGGCAACCGGAAGUGCGGGGCCCUGGCGAACAUAUAAACUUGGGCAGGCAGGGGGAGGGGCCGGAUAUUUUGGUCUUUGUUCCCCAGCAUCCUCUGGGGGCCCGAAAGAUGACCGAACUGAAGCCCGAGAGAGCGGAGGUGCGGAGUAAGGGCCGGGGUCUGGGCUGCCACUCUUACUGAACAAAGGCAAAGGGUUUCAGAGUCCGGAAGAGGCCAUCAGCUUCUUAGUGAAGGUGGAGGGAGGACUCCAAAGGAAUCUUGAGGCGUGAGGGGAUCUGCUACCCCAGGCCUUGACCCCCAGGAGCAAGACCAGACCGGGCCCCCACCUCGGCACCCAGGCCAGAGAGCACUGCCCCCAAGCAGUUCAGUUUUCGAAACCUUACUAGGGCACUGGGAGGCACCGCCGCUGCCAGCUGCGCCCACACACCUGCCCCCCUGGAGCUAGAGUCAGAGCCGGAUGAGUCAAGGGAUGAUGAAACCCUCAGUGUCAGAACGAUCAUGUGAGACGGGGCUCGAUCUACUCAUCAGGAGUGUCCAGUGGGGACUCAGGACUGAUCGUAUUAAAGACCGACAGCCGGGCGUGGUGCCGCGCACUUGUGAUUCCAGCUCUCUGGGACGCUCAGGCAGGGGGAUCGAAAGUUUUGAGUCCAGCCUGGGUAAUUUGGUGAGACCCUGCCUCAAAAAUAAAUAAAAUAAAAUAAAAUAAUAAAUAAAAAUUUUAAAAGGAAAAUAUAAAUAAAGGCUGGGGUCUUUUAUCCUUUACUGUAGCUGCCUGAAACCUCGCUUUACCUGGAACCCCUGUCCCAAGUGUAGACUUGUGUAGUGGUCAGGCUUACCUUCAAUCAGCG